rnacentral:lncRNA from 1 species
AAAAAAUACAGCAGGACCUGCAGCUCAUAUAUUCAAACCAUGCUUGUGAAAAUACCAGGACGGUAAAUUAGUGAAUUCCAAAGUCAGGAUUUUUGUUGGAUCUGGCACAGUCACAGGAAAGUCUGAGUUUUCUCAAGGGCAUCCCUGUCUCACCGAGGGGCACCAAGGACAGACGACCAGAAGCAAAUGGCGCAGUCACCGUCAGAGGAGAGUAAAACUCAUUCUGAAACGGUUCCAAAUGCCCAUGCCUGCUCUGUGGUUUUCAGCAAAGCGGACCUUUCCAAAAGACCUCCAACAGGGACUUCCUGGAUGUGAGAACACUAACCAAUUCUCGUUCCUCUCAUCUUUUGCUUUAUUCCUUCCUUCCAUGCUGUUAUUGCGAAAAACUGGUAGUUAAAUUCAAUUGAUUCAAAAUAUUCGGGAUCCAUAUGGCCG